rnacentral:rRNA from 1 species
UCGAGAAUCUUCGGCAAUGGGGGAAACCCUGACCGAGCGACGCCGCGUGCGGGAUGAAGGCCCUUGGGUUGUAAACCGCUGUCGUAAGGGAACAAAUCUAAGAGGGUACUCCCUUUUAGUUGAGUGAUCUUAGGAGGAAGGACGGGCUAAGUUCGUGCCAGCAGCCGCGGUAAGACGAACCGUCCGAACGUUAUUCGGUAUCACUGGGCUUAAAGAGUUCGUAGGCGGCCCGACAGGUCAGGUGUGAAAUCCCUCGGCUCAACCGAGGAACUGCGCUUGAAACCGUCAGGCUUGAGGGAGAUAGAGGUGAGCGGAACAGAUGGUGGAGCGGUGAAAUGCGUUGAUAUCAUCUGGAACACCGGUGGCGAAAGCGGCUCACUGGAUCUUUUCUGACGCUGAGGAACGAAAGCUAGGGUAGCGAACG